AGGGAUCAUGCAAUGGAGUAACAUCAAUGGUCAUGUGGCCAGGGAUCAUGCAAUGGAGUGACAUCAAUGGUCAUGUGGCCAGGGUCCAUCAAUGGUCACGUAUUAAUCAACACAAGACAACACAUAAAGGAAUGUUACUUACAUCAAACUCUCCUGAUCCGGUACUGAUGCUGUCGUCUGACCGCUAAAAAAAAAUCAGGAUGAACAAAAUCAACAACAGUCCAAGAAUACACAGCAAAAUGUACAGAAGGUUGCUUCCUUCUUCCUCAGGAGGUGGAGCUGUCGUAGGGGGAACAGUCGCUGGUACUAUUGCCUG